GGGGCUGAUUCUGGAUUCGACGGGAUUUGCGAAACCCAAGGUGCAUGCCGAGGGGCGGUUGGCCUCGUAAAAAAGCCGCAAAAAAUAGUCGCAAACGACGAAAACUACGCUUUAGCAGCUUAAUAACCUGCUUAGAGCCCUCUCUCCCUAGCCUCCGCUCUUAGGACGGGGAUCAAGAGAGGUCAAACCCAAAAGAGAUCGCGUGGAAGCCCUGCCUGGGGUUGAAGCGUUAAAACUUAAUCAGGCUAGUUUGUUAGUGGCGUGUCCGUCCGCAGCUGGCAAGCGAAUGUAAAGACUGACUAAGCAUGUAGUACCGAGGACGUAGGAAUUUCGGACGCGGGUUCAACUCCCGCCAGCUCCACCA
rnacentral:tmRNA from 1 species